rnacentral:rRNA from 1 species
AAAUUGAAGAGUUUGAUCAUGGCUCAGAUUGAACGCUGGCGGCAGGCCUAACACAUGCAAGUCGAACGGUAACAGGAAGCAGCUUGCUGCUUUGCUGACGAGUGGCGGACGGGUGAGUAAUGUCUGGGAAACUGCCUGAUGGAGGGGGAUAACUACUGGAAACGGUGGCUAAUACCGCAUAACGUCGCAAGACCAAAGAGGGGGACCUUCGGGCCUCUUGCCAUCAGAUGUGCCCAGAUGGGAUUAGCUUGUUGGUGAGGUAACGGCUCACCAAGGCGACGAUCCCUAGCUGGUCUGAGAGGAUGACCAGCCACACUGGAACUGAGACACGGUCCAGACUCCUACGGGAGGCAGCAGUGGGGAAUAUUGCACAAUGGGCGCAAGCCUGAUGCAGCCAUGCCGCGUGUAUGAAGAAGGCCUUCGGGUUGUAAAGUACUUUCAGCGGGGAGGAAGGUGUUGCGGUUAAUAACCGCAGCAAUUGACGUUACCCGCAGAAGAAGCACCGGCUAACUCCGUGCCAGCAGCCGCGGUAAUACGGAGGGUGCAAGCGUUAAUCGGAAUUACUGGGCGUAAAGCGCACGCAGGCGGUCUGUCAAGUCGGAUGUGAAAUCCCCGGGCUCAACCUGGGAACUGCAUUCGAAACUGGCAGGCUUGAGUCUUGUAGAGGGGGGUAGAAUUCCAGGUGUAGCGGUGAAAUGCGUAGAGAUCUGGAGGAAUACCGGUGGCGAAGGCGGCCCCCUGGACAAAGACUGACGCUCAGGUGCGAAAGCGUGGGGAGCAAACAGGAUUAGAUACCCUGGUAGUCCACGCCGUAAACGAUGUCUACUUGGAGGUUGUGCCCUUGAGGCGUGGCUUCCGGAGCUAACGCGUUAAGUAGACCGCCUGGGGAGUACGGCCGCAAGGUUAAAACUCAAAUGAAUUGACGGGGGCCCGCACAAGCGGUGGAGCAUGUGGUUUAAUUCGAUGCAACGCGAAGAACCUUACCUGGUCUUGACAUCCACAGAACUUUCCAGAGAUGGAUUGGUGCCUUCGGGAACUGUGAGACAGGUGCUGCAUGGCUGUCGUCAGCUCGUGUUGUGAAAUGUUGGGUUAAGUCCCGCAACGAGCGCAACCCUUAUCCUUUGUUGCCAGCGGUUAGGCCGGGAACUCAAAGGAGACUGCCAGUGAUAAACUGGAGGAAGGUGGGGAUGACGUCAAGUCAUCAUGGCCCUUACGACCAGGGCUACACACGUGCUACAAUGGCGCAUACAAAGAGAAGCGACCUCGCGAGAGCAAGCGGACCUCAUAAAGUGCGUCGUAGUCCGGAUUGGAGUCUGCAACUCGACUCCAUGAAGUCGGAAUCGCUAGUAAUCGUGGAUCAGAAUGCCACGGUGAAUACGUUCCCGGGCCUUGUACACACCGCCCGUCACACCAUGGGAGUGGGUUGCAAAAGAAGUAGGUAGCUUAACCUUCGGGAGGGCGCUUACCACUUUGUGAUUCAUGACUGGGGUGAAGUCGUAACAAGGUAACCGUAGGGGAACCUGCGGUUGGAUCACCUCCUUACCUUAAAGAAGC